rnacentral:rRNA from 1 species
UGCUUACCAUGCAAGUCGAACGGUAAGGCCCCAGCUUGCUGGGGUAACGAGUGGCGAACGGGUGAGUAACACGUGGGUGACCUGCCCCGCACUUCGGGAUAAGCCUGGGAAACUGGGUCUAAUACCGGAUAGGACCGCACCGUGAGGGUGUGGUGGAAAGUUUUUCGGUGUGGGAUGGGCCCGCGGCCUAUCAGCUUGUUGGUGGGGUAAUGGCCUACCAAGGCGGCGACGGGUAGCCGGCCUGAGAGGGUGGACGGCCACAUUGGGACUGAGACACGGCCCAGACUCCUACGGGAGGCAGCAGUGGGGAAUAUUGCACAAUGGGCGGAAGCCUGAUGCAGCGACGCCGCGUGGGGGAUGACGGCCUUCGGGUUGUAAACUCCUUUCACCAUCGACGAAGGUUUUCUGACGGUAGAUGGAGAAGAAGCACCGGCUAACUACGUGCCAGCAGCCGCGGUAAUACGUAGGGUGCGAGCGUUGUCCGGAAUUACUGGGCGUAAAGAGCUCGUAGGUGGUUUGUCGCGUCGUCUGUGAAAUUCCGGGGCUUAACUCCGGGCGUGCAGGCGAUACGGGCAUAACUUGAGUACUGUAGGGGAGACUGGAAUUCCUGGUGUAGCGGUGAAAUGCGCAGAUAUCAGGAGGAACACCGGUGGCGAAGGCGGGUCUCUGGGCAGUAACUGACGCUGAGGAGCGAAAGCAUGGGUAGCGAACAGGAUUAGAUACCCUGGUAGUCCAUGCCGUAAACGGUGGGCGCUAGGUGUAGGGGUCUUCCACGACUUCUGUGCCGUAGCUAACGCAUUAAGCGCCCCGCCUGGGGAGUACGGCCGCAAGGCUAAAACUCAAAGGAAUUGACGGGGGCCCGCACAAGCGGCGGAGCAUGUGGAUUAAUUCGAUGCAACGCGAAGAACCUUACCUGGGCUUGACAUGUACGGGACCGCCGCAGAGAUGUGGCUUCCCUUGUGGCUCGUAUACAGGUGGUGCAUGGUUGUCGUCAGCUCGUGUCGUGAGAUGUUGGGUUAAGUCCCGCAACGAGCGCAACCCUUGUCUUAUGUUGCCAGCACGUAAUGGUGGGGACUCGUGAGAAACUGCCGGGGUCAACUCGGAGGAAGGUGGGGAUGACGUCAAAUCAUCAUGCCCCUUAUGUCCAGGGCUUCCCCAUGCUACAUGGUCGGUACAGUGGGUUGCGAUACCGUGAGGUGGAGCUAAUCCCUUAAAGCCGGUCUCAGUUCGGAUCGGGGUCUGCAACUCGACCCCGUGAAGUCGGAGUCGCUAGUAAUCGCAGAUCAGCAACGCUGCGGUGAAUACGUUCCCGGGCCUUGUACACACCGCCCGUCACGUCAUGAAAGUCGGUAACACCCGAAGCCAGUGGCCCAACCUUUUAGGGGGAGCUGUCGAAGGUGGUUGGG